rnacentral:tRNA from 1 species
GGGCGGGUGGUGAAAUGGCAAACACGAUGGACUUAAAAUCCAUUGGCCGGAAGGCCUUGAGGGUUCAACUCCCUCCCUGCCCA